rnacentral:tRNA from 1 species
GCUCCGGUAGCUCAGACGGCAGAGCGGCUGGCUGAAGCCCAGCAGGUCAUAGGUUCAAUUCCUGUCCGAAGCCCCA